CGUUAUAACGGUAUGAUCGUUGCUACGUUUGUUGCCAAGAAUACUCAUACACACAGCCCUUAGAGAUAGAAAGUGAGUCGGUUCUAGAGAGACAGAGAAACGGUAGACAAUAGACCGAUGGUGGCGGAGCCGACAAUGCCCUCCGAUCGGCCUCCUUAUCCCGGCUACGCAGUUCUUCGAUGAUGAUGGUGGUGGUGGUGUUGCUUGUGGGUUUAACGUCGGCGGCAUAGAUCGGAAAAUAUGGGGGACGGCGGAACGAAGAUGGUGACUAGGCUGUGGUGGCGGAAACCUCGAAGAAACCAGAGUUUGCUCUAACACAAGAUGUUGUUUCAGUUUGGGAGUUUCAAAUAUUAUGAAACAAAACUUUACGGCGAGUGCUGCUGUUUGGUUCGGUUCAGUUUUGAGCCUUAACUGAACCAAAACUGAAGUGUUCCAUCUCGGGUAAUCGGUUUCGGUUAAUUUGCUUAAUCGAGUAUGCCUUAACCGUGUACGUAUGUUGUUCUUAUUUAUAUACAAUUGAAGUUAGAAUUUUUUGAUUGUUAUAUAUGCUUUUGGUUCUAUUUACUUAUUUGAGCAUGAUGUAUCAUGUAUGUCAAAUGAUAUUGGCACCAAAAGUUACAGAGGUGA